rnacentral:tRNA from 5 species
GGUGAGUUGGCCGAGUGGCUGAAGGCACACCCCUGCUAAGGGUGCAUAGGGGAAACUCUAUCGAGGGUUCGAAUCCCUCACUUACCGCCA